rnacentral:lncRNA from 1 species
UGCAAAAAUAAGAUUAAUUUGAAUUAAUGACUAAGUGGCUACAAUUUGAAAACAAUUGAUCAAAAGCUGAAAAAGGUCAAAUUGGGCCAAUUCUAUUAGCCCAAAACUACAAAAGAGUUUUGGCAGCCCAAUUGCCCAUCCGCCCCAAGCAUGGUACAAUAACCCAACCCUCUCAUUAAAACCUCCCUCAUCCAAAAAAAAAGGACCUAGAAUUAAUUGCAUUACCUUACCCUAGAGACCUAAUGAGAUAAAAAAAAGGACCUUGUAGCUUUAGGAAAGUUGUGCAUCAGCUUCUUCCUCUAAGAACAAAAACGCAGUAGUUGUUGCCUUUCUUCUUCCGCCAAACACACUUCAUUACAAAUAAAACUUCAACUCCAAAAGCCAUGAAAAUCAACCACGAAAUCCACCAAAAAUCAGCUCCAAUUCACCCCUAAAUCAUCUCCGAACAGCCCAGAAAACGUAGCUGAAGUAGCUGCAAUAAUAGUCCAUAAACCAGCCAUGUUUCCACAUCUAAACCCCUGCGAAAAUUAGUUGAAAAUAGAAGCUAAAAAGCCACAAAAUAUGCUCAAAAUCACCUCCAAAAUAGCUCCAAAACGAGCUGAAAAACACUCCAUGAAAAUAGCUUCAAGAAUGACAAUUGAAACCCAGCUUCCCACCUCAAAAAGACCACCUAAAAAAUAGCUAAAGUUUAGAGUCAAAGUCGAGGGUUUGGUUCAAAUAAAGUCGAGGCCAACGUCGAGCUUUUCGAGUCAUGGUUUUGUUUGGUCUUGUUCGCAUUUUCGGUGUUUGUCGCCGGGAUCUGUUUGCUAGUUGAACAACUUUUGUUGUUGUAUCAAGCUUUGGUUUGAAGGCCCUUUAUAAAUAUAUAGAAAAGUUUUCACAGAGGUUCUUUCUUUUCCAAUCUCAUUUUAUGGUUGAUUUGCUUUGAAUUGUUAUUUAUAUUGUUGAGCAUUUGGAUGCCUUCACAUUGGUUGAUUCUAUGUUUAUUAGUUACUCUCUUCUGUUAAAUAAUUUUAUUUGUGGCAAAUCUUUACAUUGUUCAUUGAAUGUCAUUGGGAUAUUUAGUAAGCUUGAUUUUAAAAGUUUAUUGGUCUGACAAUAUGGGUCACGAAGGAGCAUAUACUGAUUCGGGCCGUUGAAUGGCUUUUAAAAAUAAAAUUUGGUCUUUGAUUUAUUAUUGGAAGAUUUGAACCCUCAAUAAAUAUCCGGCUUUAGUUGUUGGACUACAGGGUUUUAGUACAUACUAACCUAUUUAUUCCACUAAAUAAUUUACUCUCUUUUCAACAACUAUUCCAUAAAUCAUGUCCUUACAAUAAUCUUAAAAUUAGUAUAGAUAAAUAACUUAUGAACACCGUAGUUUUCUUUAGGUGCGACUAAUAAUAAGUAUCAUGGUCAUGGGUACGGUUCCUGUGACAUGAUUACGAUACAUAAUCUCUAAUUUGGGUGUACAUUUCAUGUGACCCGACCAUAACUUCAAACAAUAAUAAAAUAAACAUGUUGUAGAUCGAGUAUACGGUUCUCGUGACGUGAUUCGCAAUGCGUACAAAAACAAACAAGUGCGCGACAUCACGACUUGUUCAAACAAACUCCAUAAAUAAUUAAAAGCGGUUAAAAGUUAAAAAUACACAAUAGAUAUUAAACAUGUAAUAAAUCAGAUAAGUAUGCCAAUUAUUAAUGGUUGAGCGAUCGUGGUAAAACUACGAAACUCGGGAGUGCCUUACUCCUUCUCCCAGGUUAACAAAAUUCCUUACCCGAUAUUUUGUAUUCGCAGACCAUAAAAAAGAGUCAAUUUCCUGGAUUUGGGAUUUAAAAUAAACUGGUGACUUGGGACACCAUAAAUUAUCCCAAGUCGCGACUCUGAAAAUAAAUAAAAUAAUCCUAUUUCGAUUAAUAGCACUUAAAUUGGAAAAACUCCCUAUCCCCCUCGGGAAAAAGGAGGUGUGACAACUUCCACUAACUAUGGGCCCUGUUAUCUAGCUGAAAGGUAGUGAAAUCAACUCUGUGGGACUUCCAAUAUACUCAUGUUGUGCAAUCUGUCCCUGCACCUAUCAAUGAAGUCCUGGGGAUCCUUAUGUCGCUCACCCUCGAAGACAGGAGGGUGAAGCCUAGUCCAUCUAUUCAGUAGCUUUUGCGGCUCAUCGGCCGUAGCUGGUCUAGGCUCAGGUGUAGUUGCUGCCACUAGCUAGGCCUUGCCCACGGGUAGUAUACCCGUGUUCUGAUAUACGACAGUUUCAUUCCCAGGAGCUUGAGUAGUAGGGGUCUGUUCUCCACCUCUCACCUGAGAUGUGGUUAGGUCUGCUAGAAAUAAACCAGUCUGGGUCAUAGUCUCCAUGAACCACAACAUACGACCCAUGACCUCCUGAAAUCCUGGUGCUGACAUGAAAUCGACCAGGGUUGGCUAUGCUAUGGGAACCUUUCCCUCCUCCUCAAUAAAGGGAUCCUCUACUAGACCCGCUAGUGGUGUAACUAGGGAAACUCUGGGACGUCCUCGUCCCCUACCUCAGGCUGGUGCCCUCUUCUGGCCUCUACCUCGGCCUCUAGCAAUGGGGGGAGAAACUCCUCCCAAGUCUGUAACGUUAGCGCGUUCUCACCAUCUAUGAGAGAAUAAGAUAAAGAAACUUAGUAUACCAUCAAUUGCACGAUAGAAGAUGAAUAAAGAGUAGUUUCCUAACGCCCUAUAACCUCCCAAAGAUAAGUACGGACAUUUUCGCACCGAUCCGCAAGACUCUAUUAGGCCUGCCCAAAACUUGUAAGACCUACGUGAACCUAGUGCUCUGAUACCAUGUUGUCACGACCCAAUUCUAAUAUAAGUCUUGAUGGCGCCCAGCGCCGCCGCUAGGCAAGUCGACAGUUAACUAACCACGUGAUUUCUCUUUUUAAUAGGUUUUCAAGUAAACUUCCCUUAAUUUAAAAGUUUUAAGGAAUGACAGAUUUUAAAUAAUUAGACGAAAAUAACUAACUGCAAUCAUAAUCAUAGAAAUAAAACCCAAAAUCAUAAGUCUACUUGUGUGUGCCAAGACCCGGUGUCACAAGUGUAUGAGCAUUCUAGUAGAAUAUACAAAAGAAUACUAGGCUACUGUCUGAAGUGAAAUAGACAGAAAAAUAUAACAAAAGAAAGACUCCAGCUACUGCAGAACGGCUCGAAAGGUAGCUCACCGUGAAGUUUCAAAGUGAAAAUCAAGUGUGCGCACCGGACUGAUAUCCAAAUGCACAUGCCUCAGAUCCUGCACAUUUAAGUACAGAAGUGUAGCAUGAGAACAUAAACAAUAUAUACCCAGUAAGUAUCUAGACUAACCUCGAAGAAGUAGUGACGAAAGGUUGACUUCGACACUUACUAUGGGCCAACAUUAUAUUAGUGUGAAAUUCUAAUUAAACAUGAUUGAUAUAAAUGACAAUAGAACUCCGAGUAAGAAAUAAUUAAACAAUCAUUUCACCGCUAGUAAGAACCGAAUUAUUUCCCUUAUUCAAACAUGUAAUUUCUCAAGCCAAUAAAUAAAUAUCAAAUACAAAGGGAAUUACAAAUAUUAGUAUCACAUAUGAAUUAUGUCGAGGACGUGCAGCCCGAUCCAAAUAUACAUAUACAUAACUAUGUACACUGCCGAAGGUCGAACGACACGAACCAUAGAUGCAUCUAUUAAUCUGCCGAAGCGAACGGCCCACUCCCAUGAGAGUAGUGGAAAAGUCACCCCGCUCGUGGAAUAUACUUGCGACGCGGUUAAAUAUAAAUUUCUCAAGUUAAUCAUAACAUCCCUCAAUUUUUUUCAAAAUAAAGAAAUUCAACUUGAAACUUUUAAAUCUGUAAAUCCUCAACCCCAGCUCUAUUCAAGACAAUUAACAAACAUAAUCCGGUAACAGGGUCCACAAAGCAUGGUGUAGGCCUAAAACUACACCAACAUAAGCAUGAAUAGUAGCUACGUAUGGACUCUCAUCACUUCGUGCGUACGUAGCCCCCACAAAUAGAAGCACAUAUUAAUUAAAUUCAUCUAUGAGAUUAAUUCUCUCUUACAAGGUGAGAAAAGAGACUUACCUCUCCUCAAAGCCCACUUUCCGGUCCAAGAUUAUGCUCAAACCCCCAAUUCAGUGCCAAACGACUAGAAACUAGUCAAAAUAAUAAUUAAUACAUGUUUAAAAGUUCAUAUCCUAACUAUCCAAGUGAUUUUCCAAGCUUAUUUGAAGAAUCCCUAAAAUUCACCCCCAGUCCCACGUGCUCGGAUCCCGAAAAUUUUCCACGACCUCGUGAACUCAAAUAUAUGAUUUUUACUAAAUUUCAUGAUUAAAUAUCAUUUUUAUCAAAAACCUAAGUUUUCACCUAAACCCAUGAUUUUUACUAAUUUACAUGUUAUAAUCAAACCAUAAACUAUGUAUUUAACAUAUAUUGUAUAGAAGUUACUUACCUCAAAGUGCUAAGUGAAAUCCCCUCUCUAAGAGCUCCAAGAAUCACCCAACAAUGAAAGAAAAUGAGCCAAAAUAGCCUAAGUCCCGUUUUAAUAGACCACACUGCCUCCAACGAUUCCGUACCCGUGAAGCCCUUCCUGCACCUGCGGAAAAAUCCUUGUAGGUGCGCAUUUACCUUGCCUGGCCAAGCACCGCACCUACGAACAAAAAGGACCGCUUCUGCGCGCCUCCCUUGCGACCACUGUUCUUGCACCAGCGCUCACGCAGGUGCGCCAAAACUUCCGCACCUGCGGAUGGCUGGGCUGCCCUCACUAGUUCGCUUCUACGGCUUGUGGCUCGCACCUGCGGCUGGCCAAGCGUAGGUGCAAUUAUGGAAGUAGCUGGGAGCUUCAGCUAUUGCUCCCAAGUUCUAACUUUGUCCGAGCCUUAUCCGAUUAGCACCUGGGACCUUUGGGCUCCCGAGGCCCUACCCGAACAUACCAAGAAGUGUAGAAUUAUAAAACGGACUCGCUCAAACUCUCGGAACGCACCAAAAACCAUUAAAACUAAGAAUCACACCCCAAACUAAUUGAAUCAAAAAUAUGCACUUUAAGUUCUUCAAUUUACUCUCAAUGCACCGAAACGUGCUUAAACUACUUGGAAUGACACCAAAUUUUGCUUGCAAGUCUUAAAUGAUAUUAUGAAACUAUUCCGGAUCUUGGAAUCCCAUUUUGUAAUGACCCGAUCGGUCGUUUUGCCUUUUAGAACUCUGUUCCCUUAAAUAAAACUACUCGUGCUUGCUUUAGCUAAUUUACGACUUGCGGGGACGGUUGGUUCAGGAUUUGGAAGAGCUUGGAGUGAAAUAUGCCCAUUUAAUUCCUUAGAAUUUUCUUGAAAGACUAAGUUUGACAUUGGUCAACAUUUUGAGCAAACGAACCCGUAUUCAAGAUUUGACGGUUCCAGAGGGUCCGUGGGAAAAUACGGGACCUGGGCGUAUGCCCGGAAUCAAAUUCCAAGGUCCCUAACUCGAGUAAUGAAUUUUCAUUAGAAAUUGUUAAUCUGAAGUUUUAAGGAUUUAAAGAAACUAAUUAAUGAUUGAUUUCAUAGGUAUAUGGCUCCUAUGUUGGUUCCAAAACCCGGUACAGGUCCGAAAUAUCAUUUAAGACUUGCCUGUACAAUUUGGAGUCAAUCCGAGUAGUCUAAGGGCGUUUUGACCCAUUAGAGGAAAAUUAAGAACUUGAUGUUCAUAAGUUUGAUUCAUUUGGUUUUAGGGGAUGAUUCCUAGAUUUAGCAUUGUUUUGAGUGUUCCGAAGAUUCGAGUAGGUCCGUAUCGUGAUUUCAGACUUGUUGGUAUUUCGGGCAGGGCCCGGGAGCCCCGAGCGUCAAUCGGACGAGGCUCGAGUGAAGGAGAAAUUUUUGAGAAGAGUUGAAGCUGCUGCUUUUGUCAUAACUGCACAUGCGAUUGGCGGACCGCAGGUGCGAAACCGCAGAAGCGGUUCUUUCAUCGUAGAUGCGGCCCAGGCCAGGAACCGCAGAAGUGGCUCCCAAGCCGCAGCAGCGGUUUCGCAGAUGCGGCUUCAAGACCGCAGAAGUGGCCGCAGUCAUUUUAGCCCCUUUCGCAGAUGCGGUCCUCUUCUCGCAGAUGUGGGACCGUAGAUGCGGAAAUCGCUAAGGCAGUGAGGUUCAUUUAAUACGGGUUCUAAGUCAUUUUUAUCACUUUUUCACUCUUUCAUUGGCAAUUUUAGAGCUUUUGAGAGAAUAUCUUCACCUAGCAUCUUCAGGUAAGUGUGUUCUACCUAUUCCUAGUUAAAUAAUCAUGUCUUAGGUAGAUUAAACACUAGUAUUAAGGUGAAAUCAUGGGGUUAGAGCAAAAACCUUGGGUUUUAGUACAAGUUAGAUUUAACCACGAAAUUUGCUAUGGAAUAAAUUAGAAAUCAUAUAUUAUCGAUCCUUAGGUUAUAGAGAACAACUUCCUUGGAAAAUUUUGGAAUCCGGGCACAUGGGCCCGGGGUCGGAUUUUAGGAAACUUGUGUUAAAGGUUGGGAAAUUGCUUAAAUAGCUAGAAUUCGAUCUUGUGAACCUAUAUUGACUAGUUCUUACCUCAUUCAACUAGUUUGGGAUCGUUCGGAUCUGAAUUGAGGGUUUGGACUCGUUCUUGGUAUUGGAAGUGCACUUUGGAGCGAGGUGAGUCUCCUUUCUAACCUUGUAAGAGAGAAUUGUCCUCAUAGGUGUAAAAAUUGAAUUAAUUGCUAUUAUAUGCGGGGGCUACGUACACACUAGGUGAUGAGAGUCCAUGUGUAGCGACUAUUAUAUUAAGUCCGGGUAGUCUAGAACCCAAAAGCAUGCUCUACGUGAUAUUCUUGCAACUUGAUGUUAAAAUCGGAUUCGUAUAAAUUAUGUUGAUUAAAGUAAAUGAGACUAGUGGGGGAACCUUAUCCUGUUUGAUCCUUUUUAAAGAAAAUUUGGACAUUCCUGUGAAUAACUACUCCUCAAAUAUAUAUAUUAUUGUCUGCUUGUUGAUGAGCUUAUUAUAUUUGAUCGCAUUGCACGUGAAAUUCGCGAUCGUGAUAAUAGAUGCAUCUAUGGUUCAUGUUGUUCGACCCUCGGCAGUGCACAAUUUACUUUUAUGUUGGAUCGGGUCAUACGUCCCUCGGUAUUGCUUGCACAUGCUUUACUUAGUAUUUCUCUUUGUGGACUGAACAUCAUAUAUGCCUUGAGACAUAAAUGGAUACCCAUGAUAUUAUUUGAAAAAAAGAAGAAGUGUUAAUCCUUGCCCUACAAUCGUAUAAACUGUGCUAUCCAUGCUUAUUACAGAUUCUUUCUCAUAUUAUUUUACCCUAGUAAAUAUCAAGUCGACCUCUCGUCUCUGCUUCUUCGAGAUUAGACGGGAUGCUUACUGGGUACAUAUUAUUUAUGUACUCAUACUAUACUUCUGCACUUAAUUGUAUAGGAUCUGAGGCAGGUGUAUUUGGGUAUCAGUCUAGUGCACAUCCCUGAGCGGACUCGAGAUUUCUACGGUGAGUUGCUUCCCUCCCAUGCCGUUCAGCCUGAAGAAGUCUUCCUUAUGUAUUUUGUUGCUAUCUAUUCUAUUUUGGACAGUAGGAUAGUGUGA